rnacentral:tRNA from 1 species
ACUUUUAUAGGAUAGUAGUAAUCCGAUAGCCUUAGGAGCUAAAAAAUUGGUGCAACUCCAAAUAAAAGUA